GACAGAGGCCUCAAGCGUUAGGCGGAAUCACUGGGCUUAAAGCGUGUGUAGGCGGAUCGUUAAGUGUCUUGUGAAAUCCCACGGCUCACCCGUGGAACUGCUGGGCAUACUGGCGAUCUUGGGCCAACUAGGGGCAACUGGAACAAGCGGUGGAGCGGUGAAAUGCGUAGAUAUCAUUUGGAACGCCAACGGAGAAAUCAGGUAGCUGGGGGUGUGCUGACGCUGAGACACGAAAGCCAGGGGAGCGAACGGG
rnacentral:rRNA from 1 species